UUUUGGGUGUUUCAGUCCCUUCUCAGCUGGUC
rnacentral:piRNA from 1 species